GAUCAUAUCUUGUGCCAUCAAUGAAUUGCUACAUCCAUGGCACCUGAGGGCAUGAUGUUUCUUUUUCAUAUGUUACACUAAUUACUGGCCAAAUUUGCAUGCAUAUAUUUAUUUUCAGUUGCAUCUUCCAGAUCCGUCUCUGUUGGCUUGAUGGGGACCCUUCAGUAGCAUUGCUGUCUCUUAUGUUCAGAUUUUGCAUCAUUUUUUGGUUUGAUUAACCAAUUUUGCGCAUUUGCUGUGGUUUCAUCUGAUUAUGAUUAAGUUUGCUCUGUUGAUUUUUCAUUACUUUUGUAGUAUGUUCUUAGCUUGUUGCUUUGCUUUUCACCUCAGCAGGGGAAAUUCUUUGGUGUUUCAUGAUUUAUCACAAGCGAUCACUGUUGUAAAUCAGCUUGCAUUUGAGUUCCAAUCUCAAAGUGGUAGCCCUUUACCAGGGUGAAGGUUUUGAAGUGGCCAAAGCAUUGUUGGUUUCUUUCUGUAUUGCUUGUUAGUGGUUUUAAAUUAGUAUAUUGGUUAUGAUUUGUGCUUCAGAACUCUCCAUGAAGUCCUGAUACUGGUUCUAUACACCAAGAUUGGUCUUUUGGAUGGUGGUUCGAAGUAUAGAAAUGCCUUCUAUAGUGUAUUGCCCCAUGAUUGAAAACUAAUAUGUAGAGAUGGUGCAUGACAUGGUUUCUCCCUCUCUCUUGCUGUAAUAAAUUGGAUAGAAUUUAUUUUAAGGUGGCUAAUCUAAAUAUAGGAGGAUAUGGUUGCAAACCUUGGGAUGUUUUCCAGUUUUUGUUUGGAAAUAAUUGAUCUGCUGUUAAUUUGAAGAUGACAAGGAGAUAAGGAGGAAAAUUAAAAGGCUUCUUUGGUGGAUGGGUAGGAGAACUCCGGAUCUGCCAAGGAAGCAGGUGAGGGAGGAGACGUCUUGUGCUGUAAGGGUGUCUCGCAGACUGAUUUUCUUGAUUUGAUGUAUUGUCAUUGCAUAUAUCAUUAUCUCAAAGUCUGGUUAGUGUUUGAUUUUGCACAGAUUUGUUUGGGAUCUGCUUUGAAGCAAGCAUCGUUCCUUGCGCUCACAGAAUGGGAAGUUGCAGAAAGAGAGAAAAGGUGGGCCACUCAGAUGUGGCUCAUUGACGAUGUAGGAUUGAAAUGGAUAAGGGCAGGAUGCCGCUUUCAUCAACAUGAAACAUGACCACACCACUUGGAGUUGGAGAUGACAUACUCACAUGAGCCUUGGGAAGCUUUUGUAGUGGUGCUUGUUUGCUUUGGAUAGUAUAUGCUUGAUAAUUUCCCCGUGUUGUUCGCAUGUGUAAGCGGGUGAAUGGAUUAUCUUGUAAUGAACUUCUAGUUUCUUGAAGCAGCAACAACCAUGUCCUCCUUUGUUGAAUUUGCUUGAGAAUGCAUAGUUUGGUCAGUUUGCUA